rnacentral:misc_RNA from 1 species
UCAAACUUGGUCAUUUAGAGGAAGUAAAAGUCGUAACAAGGUUUCCGUAGGUGAACCUGCGGAAGGAUCAUUAAAGAUUCCGGCAUUCGUGCCGUACCCAUCUUCAGCUGUGCGCUUCGGCUGCACGCUGCGGAAAAUCCCACACCCGUGAACAUACUCGGUUGUGGCUCGACUCGUCGGGCCGCCUCCGCCUUUUACAUCAAACCACUAUGUCUCGUAUGUCUAAUACCAUAAAGUAACAACUUUCAACAACGGAUCUCUUGGCUCUCGCAUCGAUGAAGAACGCAGC